UACGUAGGGGGCAAGCGUUGUCCGGAUUUAUUGGGCGUAAAGAGCGUGUAGGCGGCUAGGUAGGUCCGUUGUGAAAACUCGAGGCUCAACCUCGAGACGCCGAUGGAAACCAUCUAGCUAGAGUCCGGAAGAGGAGAGUGGAAUUCCUGGUGUAGCGGUGAAAUGCGCAGAUAUCAGGAAGAACACCCGUGGCGAAGGCGGCUCUCUGGGACGGUACUGACGCUGAGGCGCGAAAGCUAGGGGAGCAAACAGG
rnacentral:rRNA from 1 species